GUUCUUAUGACCAAAACACUCUCAGGGGGGCCCCAUGGCAAGUUCAGUCACAAGGCGCUAACACUGACAUAUUUACGGGCAACCAACCUCAACUAGCUAGUAUGGCUAAUCAAGGGCCUUCAUGCAGCACGUGGCAUCAGCCAGCACCCAUGUACCUGCCAUCGACGUCAUACACAGCGUAUUACGCUGGUGGUGACACGGCAAACGUCCCGUGGCAAGCUUCACAAAUUGCAGGUGGAGCACGACAUUUUGGUGUCACAGACCACACAAGAUGGCCAAAUGCAGCACAACAAGGUAAGGAAAAAAAUUGAACCACAAAAAACAUCACUACAUUUGUUGUUUGUAGUUUUUUGUAGGCAAAACAAUAGUUGCCAUGUUUGUUGAACAGUACCUGCCAUGA